UACGUAGGUGGCAAGCGUUGUCCGGAAUCACUGGGCGUAAAGCGCGCGCAGGCGGCGAUCUACGUCUGGGGGUGAAAGCCCGGAGCUCAACUCCGGGACUGCCUUGGAUACGGGAUCGCUUGAGAAUUGGAGAGGCAAGGGGAAUUCCACGUGUAGCGGUGAAAUGCGUAGAUAUGUGGAGGAAGACCGGUGGCGAAGGCGGUCUGCCGGGGCAGUUUCUGGACACUGAUGCGCGACAGCGUGGGGAGCAAACAGG
rnacentral:rRNA from 1 species